GACGAGCUAACGCUUUAACCACUAGGCUACCCGACCGCCCCCAUAUGAGCCGGAUAUUAUGAAAUGAGGAAUAUGCAUGGUGUGACCUGUCAGUUUCAAGAUGUCACGGAUCCAAAGCCAGAUAGUGAAAGAACUUAGAAAUUUGUGGCCCAGAUAUAGUGGGUUGUGUAUGAUUCUUAAUUUUGAGUGAAUUUCAUCAAGUUUGAUAAGCUGUCACUUCAGUUGGGACAUUGUUUUCUGACGGACUUUCAAAUCCCCUCCUGCCAAAUUCUAACGGUGGUGGUUGAUGAAGAUGGCAAUGAAUAUCGAUCACAAAAAGGUUUGUAUGCAACAUAUUGUCAUGAAUAAAAUGUCUUUAAACACAUUUUAUUAUGUUAUAUUUUACUUUAAUUGUCGGUUGUUGCAAUGACCUUAAUAUGGGUUACAGAAAAUGUUACAAAAACGCUGAACAAUAUUUUUUCUCAACAAACUUUAUUUAAAAUAAAUCUUUCACUUAUUUUGAAUGUGUGAAUAUUGAAUGUUUGAAUUAUACCUCCCCACUCUGAAUUGGGAACUGUCCUAACGUGUCCCGGUUGUCACCACACUGCACUCUCAGUUAUGGCUGCCAAGGAAAUUGUUAACAGUAACUGUUAAAGAAUUGCAGGAAACCAGAAGACAACCCAGUACUGUGAGUGUGAUGGUGUCCAAAAUUAACAUGCUGACUAACUGUGCCUGCUGGUGUGAUGCUGCUACCACCCUGGAGAUUAGUGUAUGUUUUGUCAACUUUGCCUCUUCUGAAAUUGGUUUUGGACAAACUGUUGUGGCCAAGUGCCUGUGCGAUGUACCAGUCAGUAUAGGGAAAGUGUUUGUGAGUUUGGAAGAGGGCAGUGUUUUCUGGAUGUAAUUUUGAAACAUACUUUUUAAAUGAAGCAACGGGACAGAAAGGGGUACCAGUGGCAUUUAUGUGUGGUUUUGGUUCGUUCGAAUCACGAAGAUCGUUUUUUUAUCAACUCACUGUGUGUGCUUGUGACGUUCUCCAAACGUCAUCGACCUCGACACGGAAAGAAUUGCGAGUGAGAUCACGUUAAUUUUCAACCCCUCGCCUGCCACAUCCCAAUGUCAGAUCAAACCAGACUUUCUUCUGGAGAAUAACUUGAUCGUCUACCAAUUGAUUAGAUCUGAUUUUCACCAAUUCCCCCUCCAAAUAGGCUUAUUGUGAGUAGAUACAUCCAACUCAAGUUUCUUAAUUUUUCAAAGCAUCCCCAUAAAGUCAUUGUUCGUAAUGACAAACUCUUGGUCCUGCAGCAUGUUAAAUGAAUAAUCAUGCGGUGGUUGAUGGAGAUGGCGAUGAAUUGAAGAUUUCAUGCCAACAUAGAAGGACUUCGAAUGAUACUGUCCAUUGGAAUUUCGGACCUUGGUGUAGAAAACUUUCAAUGUGUUGUUUAAUUCCUGAGGUGAAAGGGUCUCAAAACUUGGUGAUUUGUCUCGCAAAACAAGCUAUUCUGGAAAUUGAAGUCAAUAUUCUGUUACCAGAGGACUUGCAAAGAAGGUAAGUAAUAAUUCCAAUGGUUACAUUAUCAAUAUGUUUGUAUUGCUGAGAUUGUAAAUAUUGUGCAUUUCAUACGUGGCCAACUCAUUCAAUUUCAACACGUAACAUUUCCAUAUUUUCUUUGUUUUUUUACAUAAGUAAUAAAUAUAAUUAUUAAAUAUCUUUCUUCCUCACGUUUUGAUAUCUUAAUCGCCCAACUAGCGUUUAUAUUGGUGCUUUGUGCCUUCGUGUUUAUUACAAUAGACUCGAUCUCAUCAGCAUCGAAAGUGACGAAGUGGCGAGAGUCAUUGGUAGCGGCAGACGUCAUUCCCUCGCAAGUCAGUGUAGGUGCUGUCGCUUCUGUCGGAGCAGUGCCCUGCCCUAAUGGACAGUAAUUACAUUAUCAGCAACGGCAGUGUCCCUGGGCGACUUCGCAGAGUACGUCGGAAAGUGGCGGUCAAAGAAACAGCACUUUUUUGACGAAUGUCAGUCCAAUUACAAGCUGUACUACAAGAUGGUUGCUGAACACUUGGCAUCAGAAGCAGUCUAUUCCAACAACGGCGUAGUUGACGAUGCAGAUGUUGCCGACUAGUGACAGGAGAAUACUGCUUCACAGAACAUGUUAGAAACAGAAACUGACCUGAAAGGAAUGUUAAAAUAGUUCCUGUGAUUCAAUACCACGUUAAAUAUUCAUUACCACGUUUUUCAUGCUUCGAAAUGUGUUGCCUUUGCAAUACAAACAUGUUAUAAAGGACAAAUGUUUGGAAAGUAAUAUCCUUGUAACAAGAAUAUAUUUUGAAAACUGAGAUAUAUUUGUUGUUAAACUAUGUUAUUAUUAUUAGUAUUAUUUAAUGCCAUAUUGUUAUGCAUUUUAGCGGAUAAUCAAAUAUAUUGCCAUAGUGAUCAGUAGACAUAAUAGGGAACAUAAGAGCGAGUUGUAGUUAAUAUGUCAAAAUAUGUCGAAAUUGAUAAGUGAACGUUUACGUGUAUUUAUGAAAUUGUAUUUAAGUACAACAAGUGAUGAAGAUAUCACUACAUGUUACAUGUUUCAUUUAGGCUGUUGACAUGUCAUAUUACUAUGAGUUGUGGGCACAUCGAGCCUACAUGUAUUUUAUCUUUAUUCAUGAAGUAGGGAGGCCAUAGGCCCAUUCUACAGUUACAUCAUUGCUUGAGAGUGUAACAGCAAAUAAACAUUGGUACAUUGAUAGACAUUGUUCAACCAAAUGAUUGACAUAGUUGCAUGGACUUCCAAGAACAUUAACAGUUUCUGGAUUUUUAGUAAGUAGUAAGUAGGGUAGAUAUGUUAAAGAAUUAAAUUAAAUUAAUGUAAUGUUGGAUAUAAGUAGUAUUUUAGGGGUAUAUACUAACUCAUAAGAUUGCCAAAAGCAUAACACAAAGUACAAAACGGUAUUCAUCCUCUAUGUAUCUUUGUUUACAUACAUGACAUAUUCCAUCUGAUUUUAAUUCUUUAACAUAUCUACCCUACAAGAAUAUAUACUGAAUUCGGGACAUUGGAAAAUAAGAAACAUUAAAAUGUUAAAAAUUAAAAAGAACAAAAUGCACUUGUUUGGCAGUUAUCUGAUACCUGAUAAAAUCAGAUUGAUAACCUUUUGACUUUUAAAAUGUUACCCUUUACUCAAGCGUAACAUUUAUAUAAAUGCUUCAACACAUGUUGACAUGCCACGGAUUACAUCGGGACUUAAUUUAUAAUACAACCCCGAGGUCAGAUGGUUUGCAAUAUUCCAGCUAUAUGACAGCGGUCUGUAAAUAAUCGAAUCUGGACCAGACAAUCAGGUCAGAGUGUGUCCUAUAAAAGAGAUUUAAAUCAGCGAUAAUACUAGAGGGUUGUAAUAUGUGUUUUUAUCACAUAUUGUCUAUAACAAAAUAAUUUCACUCUUUAAAGUUUACACUGUUUCGUCGUGCUCAUUGGCUGAAGGGGUAGUCACUUGACCUGAAAUUUUGAGUUCGCACACCCGUGAACGGACAGAAACGUUCACACGAUGAGAACAAUUUGUGUGAACUUUUGCCGGAACUACUUUCCGGCGUUGCCCCGAAUUCUCGAUCCAUGUUUUUGAUCAACUCGUUUUUCUAUUUUCUUUUUAAUCCAUGUAUUUAUCAGCAAUAUAAUUAAUCUAGUAUUUUUGCCUGGUCUUGUAACCUUUCAUCAGACUAAUAAAUAAUAAA
rnacentral:lncRNA from 1 species